rnacentral:rRNA from 1 species
CCUACGGGUGGCAGCAGUAGGGAAUCUUCCACAAUGGACGAAAGUCUGAUGGAGCAACGCCGCGUGAGUGAAGAAGGGUUUCGGCUCGUAAAGCUCUGUUGGUAGUGAAGAAAGAUAGAGGUAGUAACUGACCUUUAUCUGACGGUAACUACUUAGAAAGUGACGGCUAACUACGUGCCAGCAGCCGCGGUAAUACGUAGGUGGCAAGCGUUGUCCGGAUUUAUUGGGCGUAAAGCGAGUGCAGGCGGUUUAAUAAGUCUGAUGUUAAAGCCUUCGGCUCAACCGUGGAAUUGCAUCAGAUACUGUUGAACUUGAGUGCAGAAGAGGAGAGAGGAAUUCCAUGUGUAGCGGUGGAAUGCGUAGAUAUAUGGAAGAACACCAGUGGCGAAGGCGGCUCUCUGGUCUGAAACUGACGCUGAGGCUCGAAAGCAUGGGUAGCGAACAGGAUUAGAUACCCGGGUAGUC